CUCAGAAGUGCACCCCACAGACUGCUCAUGAAGUAAGAUGAUUUUGAGGAUGUCGAGCUCUUGAUCCAGGGCCCAAGGCAUCGAGAAGGCAAUUAGUGCUUUACACAGAAUGUCUGAGCAGGAGGUCAUCAUGCUCACCUUCCUAGUCUACAGAGGACAUGAAACCAGGAAAGGACUAUGGGCGGUUGGAGGAGAGAGGAGGAGAUGCACCUAAUCAUCACCAAUCCCUGGUUCUCCCCUAAUGUGCGCAGGAACGAUACCCUGGGCUGUGAGUGCCGAAGCAUUUGCUGCUGGCUAGCAUUGAAUGAGAUUCUGCCACAGUUGCCUUCUCUCGGAGGAGGAAUCAUUACACAGCCGCCAUGUGGAAUCCCGUGCUGACGCCUAGAGAGGAGAGGCCCUGCAGGAUCACCCGGCUCCAAAGGAAAUCUGCAAAAGAGAGAGCCAGCCUCCAGUUUUGUGCAGUCUCUGAGUUAGCUGGCGGUGUGGUAGUGGCAGGAUAACCUGACCUGGGAUGACUCAUGCAGAAUAAAGAAGUGCAGAGCAACCCAGCUUGCUGUGACUAACACGCUCAGCCUCAGGAUGCUAGCCUCUAGGUCUUCUUCCAAAUGCACAUAUACCUGAGUGUCUGUCUCCAGAGAACCAGAGUCAGAGCCACAGCAGAGCACUGCAAGAGUCCUUCAAGCACUUUUGUCUCUUCCUGACAGAAAUCUUGGCCAGUUUUCCACACACCUUCCAGCUCCUGUGCUGAAGUUGGGCAGGGGUGAAACUCUGGCCACAGUGCUUUCUUCAGUCCUUUUCUCUCAAAAAGCAACUGUUCCUGGGAGAAGGAACACCCCGUCACCUGCUGGAGUACACUGUGACAUCUGUGUGCCACUUCUCUCUCACACUACUCACAGAUAUUCAAGCCAGAGAGAUAGAGGGAGCAAGAGAAAAAGACACACAAACUAAAGGAUGGAGCUGGGUCACAUGGCCCUUGGGUCACAUGGCUCAGGCACACUGGGACCAGGCAUCUUCAUCACACCUACAUCGUUACAAAUCACUAAUGAGCACCUGUGCAGCAAAAGCUUCUAUACCAGGUGCCAGUGAAAUUCCUGCCCUCAAAGAAUCUGUUUUCAAGGGAGAACUAGGGCCUAUUGCCAUGCAAAAAAAAAAAAAUGAAAACAAAUUUCAGCUCAGGAUAAGGAGUGAGAGCUCAGGGAACAGAGGCAGGGUGAGCUCUGAUCCUGGCUGUUGAGAGAGUCUUCUCCCCAUCAACCUCACCUCUCUCGGUUUUUCCUGCCUUUACCCAGGGACACAGAGGGCAGCCCGUGAUUCCGGGUACCUUGGAAGGCCGCCGUUAUGGUUUAUGUCUAGAUGUCCCCCAAGGGGCCCAUGUGCUCAUAGGUGGUACUUUUAAAGGUAUUAAAUCAGAGGGCCACUGUGACUAGAAGUGAUGUUAGGACGCGUGAUCUAGUUGGAAGAGGCGGUCACUGGGGGGUGACCUGGAGGGUAUAUAUGCCUCUAGCUGCCCCUUCACACUCUGCUCCCCAGCUGCCAUGACAGCAUCACCUGAACAGCUUUCCUUCUCUGCCUUGGACUCACCCAAUUAUGGACUAAAAACUUGAGACAAAAUAAACCUCUCCUGAGCUUCAGCUGUCAUGUAUUUUGUUCCAAUGAAGAGGAAAGUGUCCAACAACUCCCACAAAGAGGAGCACACAGUACUGCUCAGUGCUGGCCCCUACCUCCCCUAAGUCCUGGACACUUUGAUUGCAUGGAAGUUCUCCUCACACUGCACUGGACGCUCACCACCCUGGAGCACACAUCUCUCCCAGCCCCUGAGCUUCCUCCCACCCCUCACACUGAGCCUCUUUCUGUUCAUUCCCACUCAGCUUCCCAGCUGAAAUACCCUCCAUCUGGGGAACUGAGUUAAGAGUUAACAGCUCCCUUCUCCCACUCCUGCACCUCUAAGUCUUUUUCCCAAGGCUUCCUUAUCUACUUUAAUUGUUGGAAUCAGUUGCUCACAAGUCUGUUUGCCUUAUUGGGCAGAAAGCUUCCUGCGGGCAGGCAGAAACCAGAUAUUACUGUACUCUGUAUCCUAGAUCCUUGCCACAUGUUAAGGAUCUGUGCAGUGGCAGCCCCAGGGGCUUGUGAGGAAGGCAAGAACUUGCUCAGAGCCACCAAUUCAGAGUCUCUGAUUUAAUAAAGCCUCUGGCAGCAUGCUAUUCACAAUAAAGUGUAAUUCCCUCCACUUAAUGACCCAAACAGCGUAACACUGGUUUCCACAAACACAUCCCUUACUUUUCUACUGUAAAUUUUUACUUUAGUGUAAUAGUAACCAGCUGUGCAUCUCAGUAGCUGCACCUGAGGGACACGGGAAGUAGUCUUUGUGUUUACCCACUCGAUACAAUGAAAGACAAGAUGUAUGCAUGUGUGCAAAAGUGUCAAACCAGGAUUUUCACAAAUAUUAUGUUCCAUCUAACAGGUUUGGCAUAUAUUUACCUAUCACAGAAGAUUCAAUAUACCUACACCAUUCUAGGACUGAUUUUUUUAAAAAAUUUGCUUGUAGAAGUAGCCUGAUUCAGUACAAUGGAACAUAAAAAAACAAAUUUGCAAGUUUUGGAGGAGGUCAAAAUGAAUCACCAGAUUACUCAUACAUAAAUGAUGAUUGUCAUUCAUGGUAAAAUUCAGGUUCACAUAACAGAAAAAUAAUGUGGGUGGAUGAUGAUGAUGAUGAUGGUGAUGUGAUGCUGGCUUUGAUAUUGGCCAUGUGAAUUAAAGUUCCUGUGACAGUGAAAUGGAGCAAGGAUCAACUGAUGCAGACAAAGAGAAGACAGACUUCCUUGAUUCAACUGACAAAGAAUGUGAGCAUGUGAAUAUAUAUUUGACUAGCUCACUUUGCUCACUAUAUGUGAGCAAUGUGAACAUAUAUUUGACUAGCCAAAAUGUUGCUAGAGGAUCACACAACCAAAUGGAACAAUCCAAUAUUAAAACUAGGUCCAAAAGUAUAGUGAGGGUGAUGGCAGAGGUGAAACUUAUUGGACAGAAUUCCAGCACUUCUAUUUGAUGUUGGAAAUUGUAACAGACAAAAUGCUACAAUGUGUGAAAUACAUGAAGGUUGAAAUACAAAUAAAACAUUCUGUAUGCACCAAUAUCCAAAUUCAAAAACGUAUUUAUUAUGACGCCUCAUGAGCUGAACUGAAAGGGUUCACAGUUCUGCUGUAAUUAGCAAGAAUUUUUCAUGGUAAUCACAGGAAUGUAAAAGAUUAUGGAAAAAGGAUAGGUCAAAAUAUAACAUAAAAUUUAUGUCUUUGUGUAUGUGAUAAUUUAUCCUGGAACUCAGCCAACAGGUCUUUGCUUUUGCUUCCAUCUCCCAAACUAAUUAGAUUUUGACAUUUGACAAUUGAUUUAUCAAUUUCCAAUUGUUGUUACAUUUGCUAACAAAGCACACGUUGACCACAGUAGAAAAUGUACAUGGUAACAAAGCAGAAAUUCCCAAUGAAAUGGGGCAAUUUCAAAACAGAAAAUUGUAUAGUACAAUCCUUGGAUUUCAGAAAGAUUUACAUCCACCUUAUAUAUGGCAAAGAAAAACAAAGUGGUACUGCUGAAGUAGUUAGCAUGGCACCAUGAUGAGAAUACCAAAACCUCAACAAAAUGGAAGCCUGAGACAGAAACUUUCUACAAGACCAAAGGCGGACUAGGUGUUGUUAAAUUAUGCAGCAAUUGUGUCACUUGGAACCCAAAGCAUUGGCCAAAGGCUAUGUUUUACGUGAUCUUAAACAUGCGUGGCAUAAAUUUUGAUAGUUUGCAAAGAAAAAAAUAAGUGCACAAUAUCAUGGAGAAACUUUCUUAAAGGAUUAGGACUGGAACUAGUAAGAGAUUAUUUACAGCAGAGGGGAAACAAAUGUUUCCGCUCAAGGAACUAUGCCAAAAAAUUGUGUGUCACACUGGUGAGCUGACAGGUGAACAGGCAGGCACAGCAUCUCAAGACCUAUUACAACAAGAGGAAAAUCAAAAGUAUUUCAACUGUGCCCUAAGAGAAAGGACAGGGAAAAAAAACAUAUAUGACAUCAGUGUAAUCAAUACUUGUGUAUGAAACAUGCAAAUUUCAUGUCAGGACUGCAUUGGGUAUGACAAUUGCAAAGAUUAUCUUUAUUUGCAGAGUUCUAUUGGUAUUUUCAUUGUAGUUCAUCAUUGUCUUUCUGAUAUUAUCUCUUAGGUUUUGGAACCAAGUGAACAACUGAUGUGACAAUGUUGAUGUCUAUUCUAAGCACUCAUUACACAUUCGAUAUUUUAUUUGACUGAUACCUUAUUUCCCUGCUAAGUACACACUGUAUAGCACUGUAGGAAAUUCCUGACAAACAGGAAGAAAAGAGAGAAGACAAGAAUGGCCCCCUGCAUAGCAAAGGAAAGCUAAACACAUAUGCCGUCAGUGCAUGCAUGACAUGUUCACAGUACACGCAGAUGUCAUGUAUGAAGACUGCCUUGGAUGUGACAGUCAAAGCAAAGAUUAUUUCUGUGGCAGACUUUUAUUUGUCUUUACAUUGCAGCUCACACAAGCUUUUGUUUCUUAGGUUUUGUAAGCAAGUAUACAGCUGAUGUGAAAAUGUUGAUGUUUAUUCUAAAUGCACCAUACAUAUUAAGAACUUAAUGCUUUAUUUUAUUGAUAUUUUACGUUUCCAUUAAUCACACACUGCAAAAUAUAAGGACCUUCUGGCCAAAUAGCAAGACUAGCAAGAUAUCAAGUGUGUCCUACAGAAGGCCAAGAAAAAAAAAAUACAUGUGCUGGCAGCGUAAGCAAUUCGUGUGUUUGGAACAAGCUGCUGUCAUGUGUGAAGAUUGCCUUCAGUGUGAUAAUUGAAAGUAAAUAUUACUUUUUGUAGAGUUCUAUUGACAUUUUUAUUAUAGUUCAUACAAAUUCCUGUUGUUCUUCUUUAGAUUUUGUACAUCAGACACCAACUAAUGUUUAAAAUUUUGAUGCUUGCUUGUAAACAUUCAAUAAGUAGUGGUAAGAAUGUAAUAGUUUAUUUUUUUUUAUUUUUCUCAUUAGGCAAUCAUUGUUUAAAAUAAUCAAACCCAUAAAACUUAAACUGAUAAUUCAUCAGUAGAAAUAUUCUGAAGAAUAAACCAGGUUUGACACACCCAA